AAUUAUUCCAACUGUUAAUCUUAGAGAAUUUACUUUGACUGGACAAUUAUUGAUGGUGGCUGGGACAUGGAGCAGUAAUGCCGUAACUAGCUUUAAACCAGGUCUGAUUGUAGAUUAUCAAUUCAUACCUCGAACCUACUUACCUGGAGCCUCAGAGAUAUACCACAAUUCAGCAAGGUCAAGGAAUUGCACCUGAGAAGUGCAGGAAACGAUCAUAUGAGGACUUUUAACAGCCUAUUUGAGUCGCUCCUACCAUCCAGGAUACUGAUUUUUGAGACAGGCAGUGCUGAUUCAAAUCCAGUACAUUAGCAACCCUCAGUGGACAGAAUGGAGUACUACAUAGGAGAGAUUCUGAGCUAUUGUGUAAAUGCAAUGAAAGCUACUGCACCUUGUAGAUCAAGAAAAAAAAUCAACAGGAAAAGAUCCCAGUAGAUGCUCUACUUCAGAGCUGGCAAGCAGCAAGGAAGUUUGCUCUCUCCCUUCAUCUCUCUAACUAAAGGCAAUUCUUGAGGCAGAGUUACCGCCUUGGAACAGGGCAUUGGAGUUUAG